rnacentral:rRNA from 1 species
GGAAAGGUGAAAAGAACCCCGAACAGGGGAGUGAAAUAGAACCUGAAACCAUACGCUUACAACCGGUCGGAGCAGCUUCGUGCUGUGACGGCGUGCCUAUUGAAUAAUGAGCCUACGAGUUACUAAUCACUGGCAAGGUUAAGUGCACGGAUGCACGGAGCCGAAGCGAAAGCGAGUCUGAAUAGGGCGUUUAGUCAGUGGUUGUAGACGCGAAACCUUGCGAUCUACCCUUGAGCAGGUUGAAGGUUGGGUAAAACCAACUGGAGGACCGAACGAAUAAGCGUUGAAAAGCUUCUCGAUGACUUGAGGGUAGGGGUGAAAGGCUAAUCAAGCUGGGAAAUAGCUCGUACUCCCCGAAAUGCCUUUAGGGGCAGCGUUGUAAUUAAGAGUCUACUGGAGGUAGAGCUACUGAUUGGAUGCGGGGGCUUCACCGCCUACCAAAUCCUGACAAACUCCGAAUGCCAGUAGUAUGAUUUACAGCAGUGAGCGACCGGGUGCUAAUGUCCGGUUACGAGAGUGGAACAACACAGACCAGCAACUAAGGUCCCCAAGAGUAUACUAAGUUGAUCUAACGAUGUUUUGCUGCAGAGACAGCUAGGAUGUUAGCUUGGAAGCAGCUAUUCAUUCAAAGAGUGCGUAACAGCUCACUAGUCGAGCGACAGAGCGUGGAUAAUAAACGGGCAUCAAGCAUAUCACCGAAGUUCUGGGCGCGAGAGCGCGGUAGGGGAGCAUUCCAUUCAGCGUCGAAGCAGUUUCGUGAGGAAUUGUGGAGCGUAUGGAAAAGCAAAUGUAGGCAUGAGUAACGAUAAUGCGGGAGAGUAACCCGCACACCGCAAGACCAAGGUUUCCUGAUCAACGCUAAUCGGAUCAGGGUUAGUCGGGUCCUAAGGGUAAGCCGAACGGUGAUCUCGAUGGACAAUCGGUUAAUAUUCCGAUACUAACAUAUACCUCGAUGGAGAGACGAAGGAACGUAAGUGCCGCCACCUGACGGAAUAGGUGGUUAAAGGGCUUAGGUAUAGGGGCAGAUUAAGAGUUAGUCCUUGCUGAAACCUGACAGUACAGAGAGCCUACGGGCAAUUUGAUAGUGCACCCAAGUCGACUUCCGAGAAAAUCUUCUAAGUUAUAGUAUAUGUCACCCGUACCGUAAACCGACACAGGUGGUCGAGGAGAGUAUCCUAAGGUGCUCGAGUGAAUCACGGUUAAGGAACUAGGCAAAUUAACCCCGUAACUUCGGGAAAAGGGGUCCCUAUGAAAGUAGGGCGCAGCGAAGAGGUCCAGGCGACUGUUUAUCAAAAACACAGGGCUCUGCAAAUUCGAAAGAAGACGUAUAGGGCCUGACACCUGCCCGGUGCUGGAAGGUUAAGAGGGGAUGUCAUCGCAAGAGAAGCAUUGAAUCGAAGCCCCAGUAAACGGCGGCCGUAACUAUAACGGUCCUAAGGUAGCGAAAUUCCUUGUCGGGUAAGUUCCGACCUGCACGAAUGGUGUAACGAUCUGGACACUGUCUCAACCGUGAGCUCGGUGAAAUUGUAGUCCCGGUGAUGAUGCCGGGUACCCGCAACGGGACGAAAAGACCCCGUGAACCUUUACUAUAGCUUAACGCUGAAUUUGGGUACACAAUGUGUAGGAUAGGC